AUGCUUAGAAUGAAAAGAGCACCAUUUUCCAGGCUUGUUGAGACCUUCAGGAGCAGGGGCCUGUUACAAGAUAGCAUCAACACCAGUGUCGAAGAGCAAGUGGCCAUGUUCCUCCAUGUUGUUGGCCAUAACCAGAGGUUCAGGGUCAUUCACAACACGUUCAGGAGAUCAAUGGAGACCAUCUCUAGGUACUUCAAGCAGGUGCUUUUUGCUGCUGGGGAGCUUAGAGAGAUGAUCAGGAGACCAUCUGGCCAGACUCCACCCAAGAUUUGCGGAAGCCCAAGAUGGUAUCCAUACUUCAAGGUGAGCAUUGAUAAUAUACACUUUUCAUAG
rnacentral:rRNA from 1 species